rnacentral:rRNA from 1 species
AGGACGAACGCUGGCGGCGUGCUUAACACAUGCAAGUCGAGCGGAAAGGCCCUUCGGGGUACUCGAGCGGCGAACGGGUGAGUAACACGUGAGUAACCUGCCCUUCACUUUGGGAUAACCCUCGGAAACGGGGGCUAAUACCGGAUAUGACACACAUUCGCAUGGAUGGUGUGUGGAAAGGUUUUCUGGUGGGGAUGGGCUCGCGGCCUAUCAGCUUGUUGGUGGGGUGAUGGCCUACCAAGGCGACGACGGGUAGCCGGCCUGAGAGGGCGACCGGCCACACUGGGACUGAGACACGGCCCAGACUCCUACGGGAGGCAGCAGUGGGGAAUAUUGCACAAUGGGCGGAAGCCUGAUGCAGCGACGCCGCGUGAGGGAUGACGGCCUUCGGGUUGUAAACCUCUUUCAGCAGGGACGAAGCGUGAGUGACGGUACCUGCAGAGAAGCCCGGCAACUACGUGCCAGCAGCCGCGGUAA